CGGAUCUCGAAAGCCUGUCCCAUUCGGACUGGAGUCUGCAACCCGACUCCACGAAGUUGGAUUCGCUAGUAAUCGCGCAUCAGCCAUGGCGCGGUGAAUACGUUCCCGGGCCUUGUACACACCGCCCGUCAAGCCAUGGGAGCCCGGGGGCGCCUGAAGUCCGGGACCGCGAGGACCGGCCUAGGGCGAAACUGGUAACUGGGGCUAAGUCGUAACAAGGUACC
rnacentral:rRNA from 1 species